UGCUCUCAUCUCCCUCUCUCUUUCUCUCCUUUGAAUCUGAUUUUGAUUUGUUUUUUGGUAAAGAAAGUUGGAGGAAGCACAAGAGGCCUGAUGAGACGAGGUGACUGGAGGUCUCUCUUUUGUUCCAUCACCGAACUGCCGCAGACCAAGUGGGAUUUGUAGUUGUUAAAGUCCGCUACUUUGGAUUGCUCUUUGCUCAAGGUUGAGGCGGAGAGAACAGAUUCGGAGGCAGGAGGCGAAGAGGGGGUCCAAAAGAAGACAGAGCCAGAGGCUGGAGAAGACGGAACAUCGAGGCGGCUGGAGAUUUUUUUUUUUACGUAUAGUUUUUUUUAAUUUGGUUUAGUGUAAACCGAGAUAGGGAAAUGUAGUGGUUUGAUUUUAUUUUUAGUUUCUGGUUUAGCUUUGUAAGCCGGAAUAAAUUUGUAAAUCAAUUUUAAUUAUAAAUAGUUUUAUUUUAUUAUA